GUUUCAUCGAUUGUUUCGAGGAAAUUGAUUUUCUUAUUGCGCAAAUUCAAAGUAUCGGAGUUAUUCAAAAACCUGCGUUUUACAGCAAGUGCAGCCGUUA